GGAGCAAAUUAAGUGUUCUAAUCCAGCUGAUUUUUAGAGUUUUUUUUUACUACCUUUCACAAGAACAAGUACUAUCAUGUGAUAUAAACAAAAGUAUUAAAAUCAGCUGGAUCAGAACGCUUAAUUUAAGCC